rnacentral:rRNA from 1 species
UACGUAGGAGGCGAGCGUUGUCCGGAAUCACUGGGCGUAAAGCGCGUGUAGGCGGAUGACUAAGUUUGCUGUGAAAGCGCCUGGCUUAACCGGGCGAGGUCGGCGAAAACUAGUCGUCUGGAGGCCGGUAGAGGGGGGUGGAAUUCCGGGUGUAGUGGUGAAAUGCGUAGAGAUCCGGAGGAACACCCGUGGCGCAGGCGGCCCCCUGGGCCGCGCCUGACGCUGAGACGCGAAAGCGCGGGGAGCGAACGGG